rnacentral:rRNA from 1 species
GCAAGUCGAACGGAAAGGCCCUUCGGGGUGCUCGAGUGGCGAACGGGUGAGUAACACGUGGGUGAUCUGCCUCGUACUCUGGGAUAAGCCUGGGAAACUGGGUCUAAUACCGGAUAGGACCUUGGGUCGCAUGGCCUUGGGUGGAAAGUUUUUCGGUACGAGAUGGGCCCGCGGCCUAUCAGCUUGUUGGUGGGGUAAUGGCCUACCAAGGCGACGACGGGUAGCCGGCCUGAGAGGGCGACCGGCCACACUGGGACUGAGACACGGCCCAGACUCCUACGGGAGGCAGCAGUGGGGAAUAUUGCACAAUGGGCGCAAGCCUGAUGCAGCGACGCCGCGUGAGGGAUGACGGCCUUCGGGUUGUAAACCUCUUUCACCAGGGGCGAAUUUAGGACGGUACCUGGAGAAGAAGCACCGGCCAACUACGUGCCAGCAGCCGCGGUAAUACGUAGGGUGCGAGCGUUGUCCGGAAUUACUGGGCGUAAAGAGCUCGUAGGCGGUUUGUCGCGUCGUUCGUGAAAACCCGAUGCUUAACGUCGGGCGUGCGGGCGAUACGGGCAGACUUGAGUACUACAGGGGAGACUGGAAUUCCUGGUGUAGCGGUGAAAUGCGCAGAUAUCAGGAGGAACACCGGUGGCGAAGGCGGGUCUCUGGGUAGUAACUGACGCUGAGGAGCGAAAGCGUGGGUAGCGAACAGGAUUAGAUACCCUGGUAGUCCACGCCGUAAACGGUGGGUACUAGGUGUGGGUUUCUUUCACGGGAUCCGUGCCGUAGCUAACGCAUUAAGUACCCCGCCUGGGGAGUACGGCCGCAAGGCUAAAACUCAAAGGAAUUGACGGGGGCCCGCACAAGCGGCGGAGCAUGUGGAUUAAUUCGAUGCAACGCGAAGAACCUUACCUGGGUUUGACAUACACCAGACGCAGGCAGAGAUGUCUGUUCCCUUGUGGUUGGUGUACAGGUGGUGCAUGGCUGUCCUCAGCUCGGGUCGUGAAAUGUUGGGUUAAGUCCCGCAACGAGCGCAACCCUUGGCCUGAAUUGCCACCGGGUUAUGCCGGGG